rnacentral:lncRNA from 1 species
AUUACAUAUAAGUCCACUUGGAGACAUUUUUUCUCACAUAGAUCCACUCCAACAUUUUUAUCCACAUAAGUCCACCCAAGUCUAAAUAAGGUUUUGUAUUAAGUAUUAAAGUUCAACAUAAUUACAGAUUGCCAUCCAAUAAAAAAAUUAGAUUUUCUCCCUUAUAUUUACAAGAAUGCCACUAGUAUAAAAAGUCAACAACCACUCUCAUUUCAGAACAGUCUCCGGCCGACCUCCGGCGAGAUUUCCGGCUGACCUCCGGCGAGGUUUCUGGCCGACCUCCGACGAUGACAAAAAUUACUACUACCAGCUAUAAAAGCUACUACCACCAGCUACAAAAGCUACUACCACCGCCUACAAAAGCUACUACUGUGAGGUUUCCGAUGAACACAAAAGCUACUACCACCAGCCACAAAAGCUACUACCACCAGCCACAAAAGCUACAACCACAAGCUACAAAAGCUACUACUGUAAAGUUUCCGACGAACACAAAAACUACUACCACCAGCUACAAAAGCUACUACCACCGCCUACAAAAUCUACUACUGUGAGGUUUUCGACGAACACNNN